UCUAGUACAUGGGGUUGGUCACGUGACUUUUUAUUUCACAAGGCUCGGUCGGAACUGGGAACUAGGUAACUCAUGUCAAUAUGGCGGACAAACAUGGCGGCCAAGGGGACAAGGGGAAUACUCUGACGAAGUCAAAGAAAUGCAGCUAAAAUAUUGUUUUCUUGUAUAAUUUUGUCUUGGUUGAGUGCACUUUUUAUUGCUAUGUUGGUUUUAUCCAUUUCUUUUGGAAAAUCAUCAAUGUCGUUACAAAUUACAACCGGUAAUUUGAGACAAUGCCGAAAGAUUCUCUACAGAUUUCAGAUAUUAUCACAAGUCUUGAACUCUGUUCUACAUUUGCUCCACCUUCACUGUUAGAUGAUGACUGCCAGCCUGCUCAAACUGAAAAGACAUGGGCUUGAAAGGAAAUAGCCUUGUCUACAAAAUCCACAUNUUAAUCAUUUUUUAAAUGUACAGUGUCUAUUAUGUUUUAACAAAUACAAAUGCA
rnacentral:lncRNA from 1 species